CUACAGGUAAGCCCACAGAGGAGGGACUGACUACGGAUGCCAUUUGUGUCUAUGAGUGGACCAAGGCAAGAAGUGGCAUCACUCCCGUGUGUCUCUGGGGCCACUCUCUGGGUACAGGGGUUGCAACAAAUGCUGCAAAAGUGCUAGAAGAAAAAGGAUGCCCAGUUGAUGCUAUUGUCUUGGAAGCUCCAUUUACCAACAUGUGGGUUGCAAGUAUCAAUUAUCCCUUGUUAAAGGUAUAUGCCCAGAUGGCCUGAAGUAACUGAAGAAUCACAAAAGAAGUGAAUAUGCCCUGCCCCACCUUAACUGAUGACAUUCCACCACAAAAGAAGUGUAAAUGGCCGGUCCUUGCCUUAAGUGAUGACAUUACCUUGUGAAAGUCCUUUUCCUGGCUCAUCCUGGCUCAGAAGCUCCCCCACUGAGCACCUUGUGACCCCCACCCCUGCCCACCAGAGAACAACCCCCUUUGAUUGUAAUUUUCCAUUACCUUCCCAAAUCCUAUAAAACAGCCCCACCCCUAUCUCCCUUGGCUGACUCUCUUUUCGGACUCAGCCCGCCUGCACCCAGGUGAAAUAAACAGCCAUGUUG
rnacentral:sRNA from 1 species